rnacentral:lncRNA from 1 species
GAAGUGAAAGAUGAGAAGUAAAUGAACUAGAGAUGAGUUGUUGGUGUUUUUCCCUUGCCGGAACUUGUUGUUAAACUGUUUCCCUUGCCGGGACUUGUUGUUAAACUGUUUCCCUUACCCGGACUUGUUGUUGCAUUGUUCUUCCUUGCCGGGAUGGUUAAUCUUAUUGUUUACUCCUUUUCCCAUUAAUUGUGAUUAUUGUUUGGGUGAGGAGGAGCGAUAAAGCACG